GUGCUUGUGGUGUAGUGGUUAUCACACCCGCCUAACACGCGGAAGGUGCCAGGUUCGAACCCUGGCAGGCACA
rnacentral:tRNA from 1 species